rnacentral:rRNA from 1 species
UACAGAGGGUGCAAGCGUUGUUCGGAAUUACUGGGCGUAAAGCGCGUGUAGGCUGCAAGGUUAGUCAGAUGUGAAAGCCCUUGGCUCAACCAAGGAAGUGCAUCUGAUACUGCCUCGCUCGAGUGUCGGAGGGGGUGGCGGAAUUCCCGGUGUAGAGGUGAAAUUCGUAGAUAUCGGGAGGAACACCUGUGGCGAAGGCGGCCACCUGGACGACAACUGACGCUGAGACGCGAAAGCGUGGGGAGCAAACAGG